rnacentral:rRNA from 1 species
GAUGAACGCUGGCGGCGUGCCUAAUACAUGCAAGUCGAGCGAACAGACGAGGAGCUUGCUCCUCUGACGUUAGCGGCGGACGGGUGAGUAACACGUGGAUAACCUACCUAUAAGACUGGGAUAACUUCGGGAAACCGGAGCUAAUACCGGAUAAUAUAUUGAACCGCAUGGUUCAAUAGUGAAAGACGGUUUUGCUGUCACUUAUAGAUGGAUCCGCGCCGCAUUAGCUAGUUGGUAAGGUAACGGCUUACCAAGGCGACGAUGCGUAGCCGACCUGAGAGGGUGAUCGGCCACACUGGAACUGAGACACGGUCCAGACUCCUACGGGAGGCAGCAGUAGGGAAUCUUCCGCAAUGGGCGAAAGCCUGACGGAGCAACGCCGCGUGAGUGAUGAAGGUCUUCGGAUCGUAAAACUCUGUUAUUAGGGAAGAACAAAUGUGUAAGUAACUAUGCACGUCUUGACGGUACCUAAUCAGAUAGCCACGGCUAACUACGUG